UUUCCAUAUCUCUUUCUAUGAGGCAUUCCAUCGAACAUCUUUUGGGCACCAUUCAUUUUCCUCUAGCCGGAGAGAGUGAGCAGCGCUAGCUCGUCCGCCUUUCUAUGGAGUGCCGGCGGGGUAGACGUUCUCACGCCGGGACAGAAGGAGGCUUGCGGACUCCGUCGGCCAUGGCGACGACGGCGCGAGGUCGCCCGUGGCCCAGCGAGCUCGCCGUCGACCAACAUGAGCACGAAGUACCCUGUCGGUGGCUCCGGCCGGCGCAGCGCGAGAGGUCCGAUGAGAACGCGACGGAGUGGCCGGACACGCUGGGUCAUGGCACCCUGACAACGGCUCCGGUGGUUGGACGGUGCAGCAAGGCCGGCACGAGCAACUGCUGGAGACUGAGGCGGCCAUCCACGGGCUGCGGUGGUCGCAUCCUGGUCCUGGCCGACUACUCCUGUCAAAGCAGGCAAAGAGCAACGCCGCCGUCGCGUGCCCAGGCCGGCCCGCCAGCCGACGAGCAGCGCCCCGCCCUACCGCGUGCCCAGGCCCAUGGCGUUCGUGUAGGCGCGAUAGCGGUAGAAGCUAUGGCGGUCGGCUCGUCGUUGUGGCCGGCUGGAGUUGCGGCAUGGCGCUGUAGUCCAGGAGUCGGGUGGCUGGCUGACGAGCAAUUGCUCUUGGACACCGCUGCGGCUGAAUUUUCUCGUGUACCCGAGCUUGCUCCUCCAUGGCGGGCAAGCUCCAGUGUCCGCCAUGGACGAUGACGAGCAGGCCCGCGCCCACACGUACGCCUCCCACUCCAGUCGCUCGGCCAUAGCAACCCCGCUCACGCAGCUCGCACGAGCGCACGAUUGUAGUCCCUUGUGACCAUGGGGAGGAGGGGUGCGAUGGCUCGGAUGGAGGCUCGUGCCCGACGCCAUGGCAGCGGCGCUCUGGCCUGCGGGGGUGCCCACAAAAUGUUUGUUGAAAUGCCCGUGGAAAAAGGAGGAAGAAGUAAAAAAGAAAAAGAAAAAAACCAAAUACUUGAGUCAUUGACAGGUGGGACCUAUGCCCAACUCAGCAUAUUGUCCAUGUAAGCACGCCACCUCAGCCCGACAUGCGGGCCCAACUUGUUAGUUUCGUUGUUUUCGCGGCCAAGUUCGAGCAUCAACGCUCCGCGUUACAGAUUAUGCACAUUUUUUGUGGGUUUUUUGUGCCUUGGUUCAGAUAUGGCACCACCAAAUGUGAUGAUUUUGGUUAAAUAACUUCAUAUUAGGGACUGAGGGAGUAACAUUCAACAACCUGUGUUUGUCACUUGCCCUUUGGUCGCAUGACGUUUCCGGACUGUAUGGUACAGCAUGUAAACCAUGCUACAGGUUUGCCAUCGACAAGACACAUUAAGAUUCCACGUGCGACAGGACAAAAAGGUGUUUGUACAAAAAGGUGUUUGCUAUCUUAAUCGCUCGAACAUUCUAUCAAGAUUCUUCAUAGCAGACACCAAUCAAAGCGAACAUAUAUGUAUUGCACCAACAAGAACUUUUCAACUACCAAGACCUGAAUGCGCGGUUGACUCCGGGUUGUUUAUACUCCAUUAGUGAAGAGCGCAAGACAAAACACGGAGAUGGCCGUUUGAAAGCUCGGAAUCACGCGGAUUGCGAAUCGUUAAACCGAAGCAAGUUGCCAAAAAAAUCACGUUCAAAAGGCAUAUUUUUGUCCUUGGUUACUUUAGUCUUCGGAAUCCGAUGCACUGUGGAAAUUGUCAACCAUUUUUUUGAAUAAGUUGUCAACCAUUUCAACAAUGAAAGCUUUAGUUGCUCAUCUCUAAGGGCAGCACAAAAAUCAGAACUAUUCCGUACUAGACUAAUAUCUUCGCGCUGUCAAGAGACUCAAAUUGGUAAACACCUGACUGGCUAGCUAGAUACCAAAAUAAUUUGUCUCUUAAUCUCGACAUUUGACUUUCCACAGUCGCCACUUUGAAUUAAGACCGGGUAAGAGGUAUGACACAUCAGUGCCAGCUGCUAGUGGGACUAGUGGUUAACCAGUGACAUGUUGAAACAUCCACAUCCGCCCAUUCCAAUUCCAAGCACCCUAUAUAAACUGGCCAUCUCAUCGUGUAGAAGCACACAAAGCUUAUAGCUAGCUAAAAUGGCUUCCAAGUCUCUGGCCUUCGUGUGCGUCAUCUUCGCCUUCCUCGUCAUCGUCUCGCAAGGCGUGGUUGCUGCUAGGGAUCUCACACAUGGUAAUGUUUCUUCCCCUGAAUUAAUAUCUACCUUGUUUAUUUGUAUUUCCGUGUUCUUUCUGUGGCAACUACAGAGGAGCUUGAUUGUAUGGCUAAGAUUGGGUUGGGUGUGCUGUAAAUUCUCCAUGGAGGCAGUAAAUCUACAUGCCAUGGUUAUUUCUAAUGAUGUUGCCCUGCCAUGGUUGCAGUUAACAGAGCAGGAGGUAACAAUUACGGUGGUGGCUGGUCGGGCUCCUACGGAGGACGACGCCCGUGACGGAUGCUCUUCGUAAGAAUCUAGCAAAUAAAUGCAGUUCCGGUUUGCUUUUGCAGAUCAUUCAUGUGUAUGGUAUAGUAUAUAGUUUCUGUGUACAAGCUAGCUAGGUAUGUAUGUGCCCUGUCCCCUGUGUACUCAAGAUGAACUUGAAUGAAAUGUAUCGACUGUUCUGGUGGUUAACGAUCAUUUCCCGAUGAAGGGGCUGCACCGAGCCUGUGCUUUCACUCCAACUCAUCCGAUUUGCCCAAACUGUUUCUCGAAAGUGGGACUCGGCUGGAUUUUGUUUUACAGAAAAAGGGAGCAGGUAUCUUAAUAUAGCCUGAACAGGAAAACAUAUUUUUCUGUUCUUUUUAAGAACCAGAAUUCAUUUCUGAUUUUAACCAGACCAUUAAAAAUGGGUGACCCUAAGGGGCCGGCCGGCCUGCAGAACACCUGGAUCGGUCGCCUUCCGCACCGUAGGACAUGCAACGAUAGCCGUUCAAUGAACUCCAACAUUCUCACGUGAGUCAUCUUUCCUCUCACGCGCACAUGUCACACCCGAAAAAGAAAACGUCAGCCUAUGAGCAGCUCCCGGUGCGCGACACCAGCCCGUGUCUCUGGAUACAUCAUCGCUGGCCGCAGCGCCGUCGCAACACCCGCCAACCAUCUCUCGUAGCACAUGUCACCACCGUCACAGCACCGAUCAGCCCUGCUUGCAUGACCAUCAGCUGCCUGUCGCCGCACAAAACAUCAUGUCGUAAAAAAGCUUACAACACCCAUCAUCCGCACACAGCAUCGGCGGCGGCCCUUUGCAACUCCACCGGUCGCCCAUCGACAUCACCAUCACCAAGCUUGAGCACUAGCCGUCGCCACUUGUAGCACCCACCAUCGUUGAAUACAACAUCGAUGGCGGCCCGUUGCAGCACCGUGCCGACCCCCGCCCUCUCCAACACUAUGGCCACACUUGAAGAGGCCUUCUCUUGCAGAAGUUCGCGGGUGGCUUCCUGNNNNNNNNNNNNNNNNNNNNNNNNNNNNNNNNNNNNNNNNNNNNNNNNNNNNNNNNNNNNNNNNNNNNNNNNNNNNNNNNNNNNNNNNNNNNNNNNNNNNNNNNNNNNNNNNNNNNNNNNNNNNNNNNNNNNNNNNNNNNNNNNNNNNNNNNNNNNNNNNNNNNNNNNNNNNNNNNNNNNUGAAGCAGUCCGCGGCACCACACCGGUCAACAGUGUGUGGUGAACUGUUGUGGAGGAGAGAUUGUUGCCAGAACAACAUAGGGUACCAACGUGAGCUCGCACGGCGGAGCAAGCGCUGAUCAACUGGAGUUGGAGCUAGCAAGGAAGAGAUAAUGGAGGAAGAAUAUACACGUGGACAACAUUUUUCGGGGAGAAAAACUCGAGAGGAGAAUCGAGAGGAUGCGUAGGGUGGAAAGGUGGGGAUGCGUUUGUGGGCCAUGCAUCGAUCAAGCAGCCCGAUCCAAGCGAGCGUCGCAUCGGCAGGCCAAUAGUGAUCAUUGUACCACAAAAUCUGUAGAACGCUACCCGUAAGCCCGUUGACCUUUUUAAAAUACCGGCCGGUCGUGAGCCGUUAUAUCCACGACAGGAUAGUCGCCCGGUCUGAUGAGGUUUGCAACAUGUGUCAUGUUGCACUCGAAGGUUUGCAACAUGCGUUAUGUUGCACUAGAAGGUUAGCAACAUGAGUCAUGUUGCACUUGAAGAUUUGCACCACGAGUGCUUUGCAACAUGAGCCAUGUUGCGUUUGGGAGCUUUGCAACACGCCGACACUGCAGUCAUCGCCAAUGUCGAUACGUCAUGUGCAUCAUUGAUUCGUCCCGCGGAGGUUUCAACAUGGCCAAUGUUGCAGACCGCCAUUGCGCAUCGUUGUCUCCCAUUGCCCCUUGCGCCGUCGUCAUUGCAACACCUCCAAUGUUGCUGAAGCACAAGAAGAAAAUCAGUCAAUUUCUUCCACAAAAUCAGUGGAAUUAAUGACUUCCCAAAAACCAUCUCAAUAUGUCCAUUAUGUUGCUUUUUAGUGUCCUAUUUUCUAAAUUUACCCAUUAAAUUUGACAAAAACCAUCUUAAUAUGUCCCCUCUCUAAUUUCUAGUAUUACUUGGGAGAAAAUUUGUGGCACGUAGGUGUGGGAAGUACACAAAUUUCUGGCCGUCUGAUUGCCUCGCCAUUCAGAAAUCGAUUUGGUCUUUGCAUGUGUUUUAGCCCUUAAUUACCUUAAAUGAGGUCUAUGUGUGCAGCUUUUGGCAGCUCACCCAUCCCAGCUCUCAUGCUUUUACUUUUGACUUUUCAAAAUUAAAUCUAUUAUAUCUUUUGAAAAAGUCCAAUUUAUGAUUUGUUUGCAUAUUCGUGUUCCUUGCUACUAAGGCUUUGAAACAAGACUAUUCUUGAAUACGUUUUGAUAAGUUUUAAAAACUUCACAAAGUUUCAACUACUGAAACUUGGUAGGGACAAAUGAUAAAUUCAUGAAAUUUCAAAGGUAAAACUUAAACCCUAAGUUCUACAUCCGGAAAAAGUGAAAAUUGGUGAACGUUGAUAAAAAAUUAAUAUUACGAUUGUUAAGUUUUAAAUGGUUGAAACUUAGUAAAGUUUAAAAGUUGUCAAAAUGUAUUGAAAAGUGGUCUUGUUCAAAAGUUCUUGUCUCAACGAACACAAAUACGCAGAUGAAACUUAAUCUGGACUUUCGCUUCAAAAGAUAUAAUAGAUUGAAAUUAGGAGAUAAAAUGAAAAGGCACAGGAGGUGGAAUGGGUGAUGGAUGCAACUUUGCCAAAAGCAUGCACAUGCAUCAAUCUCAAAUCAGAUGUGUGGUCAUAUGCAUGCAUGCUUUCUCACCUGCGUACCCUUCUGGAUUUCACAUACUACUCUAUGGAAGAUCAUUUCAUCCAUAUCCAGCUAGUAGUUAUUGUAUGAUGAGAUAUUAGUAACAAGACUUUUGGAGUACGUUGCUGCAAAUUGGGGGCACUUACCCACGUUAUAUACUACUUUCUAUAAAGAGCAAUAGUCAGGAUGGUUUAUUUCAUCGGUCCUUAUGUUUGUUCAUGUUGUUUAAUUUGGGUUGCUUGAGAGCCUAGAAUGUAAUAUCCUCUUACACAAAGCAAGUCAUAUACUAUAUGUUUUUUUUCUCAUUUGUGACAUAAGGUUAUUCUUAUUUUAAUAUGUUCCUGAUAUAGUGUUGUCUCGCAUCGAACUCAUCUGUUUCAGCAUGUGGAUUGAAUAGUUAGGAAAGCAUAGAAAAACUGUACACAUAGUAAUGCGAAAAUGGUUUAUCCAGCUAGAGAACAACAAACUAGACAUUUAUUCCUUUAUGGAACUCCUUACAACAUGUGCCACAAUAUUUAGAAUCUAUUUGACAUAUCGUGCAUAAACAUAAGACUACAGAAUGCUCUUAUAGGUACCUUGCUCGUAUAUGCGAGCAUAAGGAGCAAAUUUUAUUCAAGCACAUCAAGCAUGUUUUUGUGGGACUAAACAUGUUUUAUUCAAAACACAUAUAUAUGUCUUGUUUUUUUUGGUGACAUCCACCAUUUUGACCUCUUCCACCAUAUCCACCUCAAGGAUAGCCACCACCACCGCCAGAGCCUCCACCGUAACCUCCACCCCCGCCAGACCCGCCACCAGAGCCAUACCCUCCACCAGAGCCACUGCCAUACCCACCGUUGUUGCCACCACCGUAGCCAGGAUUGCCGUACCCACCACCACGUCCUGGGUCACUACCACCAUUACCAUAUCCACCGUUGUUGCCGCCACCAUAGCCAGGAUUGCCAUAGCCACCGCCAUAUCCAGGAUUUCCAGACCCUCCACCAUAACCACCACCAUUGUUUCCAGAUCCUCCACCAUACCCACCACCAUUGUUUCCGUAUCCUCCACCAUGUUGGUACCCACCACCGUUGUUUCCGUACCCUCCACCAUGCUGGUACCCACCACCGUUGUUUCCAUAUCCUCCGCCAUUGUUUCCAUAUCCUCCGUUGUUUCCAUACCCUCCGCCAUUGUUUCCGUAUCCUCCGUUGUUUCCAUAUCCUCCCCCAUUGUUUCCAUACCCAGGUUUCAUAUUCUUCUCCUCGGAUUCUGCAUGCAUACAAGAAAAUAUCAUUUAGCAAUCAAGUGGAGGUGCUGCUCAGUGUCCAUACAUAUUCGGAUGAAUGAUAACUAUAUUAGGUAAAUGUUUUUUCGUUGUUGCGGGUAGGUAAAUGUUAUUUGUGUGUGUGUGUGUAGAGAGAGAGAGAGAGAGAGAGAGAGAGAGAGAGAGAGAGAGAGAGAGAGGACCUUUAGGUUUAGUUUCGGUGAGCUCUCUAGCAUCUGCUCCAUCCUGGCAGAGAAGCAGGAAAGACGCUAGUACGACACCAAACAGAAGUAUACACUUGACAGCCAUUGUGGGUGAUCAGAUUGAUCAAGCUAGCUAGCAAGCUUAGGAUGAGUUGGUAAUGGUACGUAUAAGCUUCCAGUUAGGCCCUAUUUAUAGGAGGCAAUGCAGCUUUUGCCUGUAAU
rnacentral:lncRNA from 1 species